rnacentral:tRNA from 1 species
AGUCCUGCAGUAAAUGAUUACGUUGGAUUGCAAAUCCAAAACCGGAGAUUAAUUUCUCCCGGGACUU